GAUGAACGCUAGCGGCAGGCUUAAUACAUGCAAGUCGAGGGGUAGCAAGAUUGUAGCAAUACAAUUGUUGACGACCGGCAAACGGGUGCGGAACACGUACACAAACUUCCUACGAGCGGGGAAUAGCCCAGAGAAAUUUGGAUUAAUACCGCAUAGUACAACGGAGUGGCAAUACUUUGUUGUUAAAGAUUUAUAACUUGAAGAUGGCUGUGCGGCUGAUUAGGUAGUUGGCGGGGUAACGGCCCACCAAGCCUGCGAUCAGUAACUGGUGUGAGAGCACGACCAGUCACACGGGCACUGAGACACGGGCCCGACUCCUACGGGAGGCAGCAGUAAGGAAUAUUGGUCAAUGGACGAAAGUCUGAACCAGCCAUGCCGCGUGGAGGAUGAAGGUCCUCUGGAUUGUAAACUUCUUUUAUAUGGGACGAAAAAAGGGUUUUCUAACUCGUCUGACGGUACCAUAUGAAUAAGCACCGGCUAACUCCGUGCCAGCAGCCGCGGUAACAC
rnacentral:rRNA from 1 species